rnacentral:rRNA from 1 species
CUACGGGGGGCUGCAGUAAGGAAUAUUGCGCAAUGGAGGCAACUCUGACGCAGCCAUGCCGCGUGCAGGAAGAAGGCCUUAUGGGUCGUAAACUGCUUUUAUUUAGGAAUAAACCCCCGAACGUGUUCGGGGCUGAAGGUACUAAACGAAUAAGCACCGGCUAACUCCGUGCCAGCAGCCGCAGUAAUACGGAGGGUGCAAGCGUUAUCCGGAUUUAUUGGGUUUAAAGGGUGCGCAGGCGGGCUAUUAAGUCAGUGGUGAAAUCACGGGGCUCAACUCCGGAAGUGCCAUUGAUACUGAUAGUCUUGAGUUUGGUUGAAGUGGGCGGAAUGUAGCAUGUAGCGGUGAAAUGCAUAGAUAUGCUACAGAACACCAAUCGCGAAGGCAGCUCACUAAGCCAAAACUGACGCUCAUGCACGAAAGCGUGGGGAUCAAACAGGAUUAGAUACCCGAGUAGUC